rnacentral:rRNA from 1 species
CAAGAGCGUAUAUUAAAGUUGCUGCGGUUAAAAAGCUCGUAGUUGGAUUUCAGUCUAGGAAGGUUAACUCGCCGAAAGGUUGUACGUUGAUUUUCCUCAGACUUCGUCAGAAGCUCGUGCUGCACUUAACUGUGUGGUACGAUGUUCUGACCUUUUACCUUGAGGAAAGUAGAGUGUUUCAGGCAGGCUACCCAGCUUGAAUACAUUAGCAUGGAAUAAUGAAAUGGAUCUCGGUUCGAUUUCGUUGGUUCUAGAGCUGAGGUGAUGAUCAAUAGGAACAGGCGAAGGUAUUCGUACUUGAGAGUGAGGAGUGAAAUCCGAUGAUCUCUUAAAGACGAUCCGAGGCGAAAGCAUUUGUCAAGGAUGUUAUCAUUGA